UGCCAGCAGCCGCGGUAAUACGUAGGGCCCGAGCGUUAUCCGGAUUUAUUGGGCGUAAAGAGUAUGUAGGCGGUUUGGUAAGUUGGGUUUUAAAGGCCCGGGCUCAACUCGGGUUUUGGAUCCAAAACUGCCUUUCUAGAGAAUAGCAGGGGCAAGCGGAAUUAGCGGUGUAGCAGUGAAAUGCGUUGAUAUCGCUAAGAACACCAAUGGCGAAGGCAGCUUGCUAGGUUAUUUCUGACGCUGAGAUACGAAAGCGUGGGGAGCGAACGGGAUUAGAUACCCCGGUAGUCCACGCCGUAAACGAUGCAGACUAGGUAUCAGGAGUAUCGACCCUCCUUGUACCGAAGCUAACGCGUUAAGUCUGCCGCCUGGGAAGUACGGCCGCAAGGCUAAAACUCAAAGGAAUUGACGGGGGCCCGCACAAGC
rnacentral:rRNA from 1 species